rnacentral:rRNA from 1 species
GACGAACGCUGGCGGCGCGCCUAACACAUGCAAGUCGAACGGAGUUACAUUGAAAGCUUGCUGGAUAUGUAACUUAGUGGCGGACGGGUGAGUAACACGUGAGUAAUCUGCCUUCCAGAGGGGAAUAACGUUUGGAAACGAACGCUAAUACCGCAUAACGUACGGUCCUCACAUGGGGACUGUACCAAAGAUUUUAUCGCUGGAAGAUGAGCUCGCGGCCGAUUAGGUAGUUGGUGAGGUAACGGCCCACCAAGCCGACGAUCAGUAGCCGACCUGAGAGGGUGACCGGCCACAUUGGGACUGAGACACGGCCCAG